rnacentral:rRNA from 1 species
CUACGUGCCAGCAGCCGCGGUAAUACGUAGGGUGCAAGCGUUAAUCGGAAUUACUGGGCGUAAAGCGAGCGCAGACGGUUACUUAAGCAGGAUGUGAAAUCCCCGGGCUCAACCUGGGAACUGCGUUCUGAACUGGGUGACUAGAGUGUGUCAGAGGGAGGUAGAAUUCCACGUGUAGCAGUGAAAUGCGUAGAGAUGUGGAGGAAUACCGAUGGCGAAGGCAGCCUCCUGGGAUAACACUGACGUUCAUGCUCGAAAGCGUGGGUAGCAAACAGGAUUAGAUACCCUGGUAGUCCACGCCCUAAACGAUGUCAAUUAGCUGUUGGGCAACUUGAUUGCUUAGUAGCGUAGCUAACGCGUGAAAUUGACCGCCUGGGGAGUACGGUCGCAAGAUUAAAACUCAAAGGAAUUGACGGGGGCCCGCACAAGCGGAGGAACAUGUGGUUUAAUUCGAUGAUACGCGAGGAACCUUACCCGGGCUUGAAC